AGUGAGAGCGCGCUGACUGACUGGCUGCCCCGAGGAAUGCGCGGUAUGCAGGCGGCAGGAGCAACCAUUCGGAGGGACGGGGAGGGGGAAGGGAGCGGCCGACGCCUGCUGCAGACGCAGAACCCCGCGCGCUUGGGGAGCAGCCUGCGCCCGGGGGACAAAGGCGGACGGCGCCAAGUGCCCAAGAUCCGACUCUCCUCGCUGCAGCUUGGAGGCGUGUAGGCGGUGCGGUGCGGUGCCUACACUGGGCUGUUCCUUCUCGCUCUCUCCCCCCGCACCACCACCCCGGUUGCGCGCUCUCUGUCCGUGUCUCGCUUUCUGGGCGGUGGUUGAGACUGCUAGUAGGUGGGAUCGACUUUGCUGCUUGGGGAAGUCGCUGCUGCUGCCGCUGCCGCCGCUGCUUAUAGAUCAAUGAAGUGACUCUUAUGGAAGGCUGGGCGGCUGGUUCUAUAGGUUCAGUCUGGCUUUCUGCCGCCGGUGACCGCGGGAGAGGGAAAGGGAACGACAGGCGCAUUGCAUGAGAGACUCAUCCAAGGGAGAGGGGGGAGGAGGUGGAAGAGGCGUCGAGCCAGCCAGCGGCAGAAGAAGAGCCCAGUCCCAGCAGCCGGGGAGGGAGAGGCAGCUUCCAGUGGUCGCCUCCCUGAAACGCGCGCCAGCCAAGUUGCCUCAAAAGUUGUUUCCCGUCCGGAGGGGAAGCUCGGGCUUCGGCUGGGCAAUGAUUUUCCCCAACAGCAGUAGCAGCAAUUCUGCUGGUGGCAGCAGGACUCCUUAUAGGAAGCAGCAGCCCAUUGUGCCUGCCCAUCCAAUGGCUCCUCCUAGUCCCAGCAUAACCAGCAGCAAUAACAACAGUAGCAGCAGCAGCAACUCAGGAUGGGAUCAGUUAAGUAAAACAAACCUUUAUAUCAGAGGGCUGCCUCCAAACACCACUGACCAGGAUUUGGUAAAACUAUGCCAACCAUAUGGGAAAAUUGUAUCUACGAAAGCUAUUUUGGAUAAAACAACAAACAAAUGCAAAGGUUAUGGUUUUGUAGACUUUGACAGUCCAGCCGCCGCCCAGAAAGCAGUAUCUGCUCUGAAGGCCACUGGAGUCCAAGCACAGAUGGCAAAGCAACAAGAGCAGGAUCCAACUAAUUUAUAUAUUUCCAAUUUGCCACUUUCAAUGGAUGAGCAAGAGCUUGAGAAUAUGCUGAAACCCUUUGGACAAGUUAUCUCUACAAGGAUACUUCGCGAUUCCAACGGCACAAGUCGUGGGGUUGGCUUUGCAAGGAUGGAAUCAACAGAAAAAUGUGAAGCGGUGAUAGCUCAUUUUAAUGGAAAGUUCAUUAAAACACCACCAGGAGUUUCUGCUCCUGCAGAACCUUUGUUGUGUAAGUUUGCAGAUGGAGGACAAAAAAAGAGACAAAAUCAGAACAAAUAUAUUCAGAAUGGAAGAGCAUGGCACAGAGAAGGCGAGGUGAGACUUACUGGGAUGACACUUACUUAUGAUCCAACUACAGCUGCUUUACAAAAUGGAUUUUAUCCUUCACCAUACAGUAUUGCAACCAACAGAAUGAUCACUCAGACAUCUAUUACACCAUAUAUUGCAUCUCCAGUUUCUACAUACCAGGUGCAAAGUCCUUCAUGGAUGCAGCCUCAACCAUAUAUAAUGCAGCAUCCUGGUGCUGUAUUAACUCCUUCCAUGGAACACACCAUGUCGUUGCAGCCUGCAUCAAUGAUAAGUCCACUGACACAGCAGAUGAGUCAUCUUUCAUUGGGCAGUACUGGAACAGUAUGUUGCUAUUCCAAUUUAAAGAACCCUAAUAACCCAUCAGAAAGAGCCAACAAAGUUUACAAAUAUAUGCCCGCCACAACAGCUAUGCAAGGAGCCUAUAUACCCCAGUACGCACAUGUUCAGACAGCAGCUGUUCCUGUUGAGGAAGCUAGUGGUCAGCAGCAAGUUACAGUAGAGACGUCCAGUGAUCAUUCUCCAUAUACCUAUCAGCAAAACAAGUAAUUGUGAGCUAAUGAGUCUGAUUGGUGCCAGGCGAGUGAGCAGCAGGCAGAACUGAAAUGGAUAGCAGCCAGGUUAAAUAUGUGCCCUGCUGGGGGGAGAUCAGUGUGAACUUUUGAGAAGCAAAUUGUGCCCCAGGAAUCUUCUGAUAAUAGGGCUACAUGGUCAUCAGAUAUGUGAUGUUGACCUUGCCUAGAGAAGGAUGCAAAGGCUGAAACAAUCAUGGAUUUUACUGAUCAAUUGUGCUUUAGAAAUUAUUGACAGUUUUGCACAGGUUCUUGAAAACGUUAUUUAUAAUGAAAUCAACUGAAACUAUUUUUGCUAUAAGUUCUAUAAGGUGCAUAAAGAAAAAGAAAAAAAAACCUUAAAUUCAUCCUAAUAGCUGUUUUUCCCCUUUGAACAGGUUUAUUUUAAUAAUAAAUUUUUUAUCAAGUGUUAUGACGCAAAAAAAUAAAUAUGGCCAUGCACAGAUUGCAAUGGAGACAUAUUCAUGUGCAUGACAGAAUCCGUCUCUUGGUUUUAUUUUUAUUUUGCUUUAAUUUUUUUUAUUAUUGUAUAAGGUUUUUUGUUUUGUUUUUUGAAGUUUAAACUAGUAAAAAACAUCCGUGCCGAUGUUCUGUGCUUGCCGUGUGAGUGUCGCUAUAGUGCAGUGUUGCAGUUGUAGUGUCUGUUUUCAUAGCUUUCUGAGGUUUUUUCUUUCCCUUUCUUUUAAGGUAGUGUGAAGUGUCUUAUCCUUUUUCUAUCAAUUCCAAUUUGCCUUAACUCUUUUAAUGCUGUAGCUGUUUCAGUACGUAGUCCAUACUAAUGGUGUAGAAUGCUUUUGACCAAAUAAGCUGGUCUAUUAUGCCUUGUAAAACAGCAGGAUAGGGCUUUUAAGAGGUAGUCAAUUAAAAUUGCUGAAAAAAAUCUGGCUUUUUAAAAAUGUGUAGUAGGUGUUUUUAAUGAUUUUUUUCUCUCACAUAAUAAUGUAAGGUUGUGAAAUGCAAGAUUGGGGAUAGGGAAAUGUUUUGUGUGAAACACAUUUUCUGACUGGGGAAAUUUUAAUAGGAUACAUUGUUUGUAAGGCCUUAUGCCGAUAGUUUUCCUCUGCUAGUUAGGAACUCUGCUGUAUGAUGCAAUGUAAAAAUCUUUUUGCCUUUUUCCAGAAGCUAAUUGAUGUUCUAGUUUUAGGUUUGUGGGGAGUUUGGGGUUGGGGAAAUCUGCAGAAUGUUUCUGUCCUUCCUUUCUAGUAAUGAUAGUGCUUUAGAAUGAUGCUGUGCCGAGACCUAGCAAAAUAGAAGCAUUUGCUUUUACAGCAAAAGCAAAAGCUAAAAGACUUUUUUCAAACAUAAGCUGAGAUGUAAGUAGAAGAUAUACUAGAUUGGGUACUCGCUCUCUAUAUUAGGUAAAUAAAAACUUGGCACUUUUUAAAGGUAACUUUACCAAAGAACAAAGAGCCAGUAACCAAUAAUUCUGAUUUGUCUCAGCAGUUACGUCUUCUGUACUCUUUAUUUUUUUGCCGGACCAGUUUGCGGUUAGAAGAAUGUGCCUUUUUUUGUACAUUUGCAUUUAGGUUUUAUAAUUUUUAAUUGAUGUAUGGACACAAAACUAAAGCAUGAAGGAAGACUUGGAUCCAAGCAGUGCCACGCUUUACAUCAUCACUACAAGUGUUAAGUGUAAAGAAAGAAAUAAAAUUUUGAAACUAUGAAAUUCCUGAUUUCACAAAUACACUGUUAUUUGUACUUUUUACAUAUUAGAUAAUAAACUCACUGCUAUUAAAGCUCGUUUUAUUAUGAUCGCAUGUGUAUUAAAUCAAAUGGUAAAUUAAGUUGUCUUCCAAAACUGUGUACUUGUCUGGUCAGCUGUAUAUGAUCAGUUAUCUACCUCAAGACUUCUUUCCUUUUGUAAUGGGACAGGUUGCUGGCCCUCCCUGUUUCCACAGACCAAAUCAUCCUGGCUCAGGAGCUAGGCCUAAGCAAUUCUUUCUUUUCACGUUUUUAUUUUUAGUUUUUAAACUUUAUGUGAGUAUUCAAGUACAGAUGUCAGUGACAUUUCAUAGUUUCAAAAGUCAAUGCUGCUCUGAGAAGUGUAGAUUCUAGUGAAUUACAUAGUCAUAAGAAAUGUGUGUUUUUUUAUUUUUGUUUUUUAAAGAAAAAAAAGUUGUGGUAUUAUUGGUUCUAUGCUCCCUGGAAUUUUACUGCUUUGUCAAAGUUCAGACUUUGUGCAGCACAUUCCCUAUUGCUGGCAUAUUUCCAAACCUGGGAAAGAAGGUAUUUGCUACUUGAAAUUUGUUUCAAUUAGCUGAACAUUGGAUUAUUGGGAGGGAAUAGAUGCUGCUUGAAAAGUCUGAACUAAGUGCCAUACUCAUCUGGGUAAGAUUUGCAAAAUGUAACCUCUGUACAUAAAGAAAUAAUCAGUUACUUAAACAUCACAUAGUAGACAGCCAUUAAAUUAUAAAAAAAAUAAUUUAUGAAGAAAGACCUUUUGUACAGAUUGAAAAAAAAAAGAUUUUCAUAGAGAUAUCUAUAUGAUCAAGAGAGUUAAUUUUUUAUUUUUGUUUUACUAGUGCCACAACCUUGCCAGUGGUAACUUAUUUGUCCGGUUCAAGAUAACUCUGUCAUUUUGUUUCCUAGGAAUUGUUGUUAAAUGCCAAAAGACAUUUUUGAACUGUAAAUUUGAUUAGAUUGUUAGCUUUUUCUGUUUUGUUUCUUUUGAAAACUUUUGAAUAAAAAAGAUCAAAAAAUGAAA